rnacentral:rRNA from 1 species
CCUACGGGUGGCAGCAGUGAGGAAUAUUGGUCAAUGGACGAGAGUCUGAACCAGCCAAGUAGCGUGAAGGAUGACUGCCCUAUGGGUUGUAAACUUCUUUUAUAAAGGAAUAAAACGAGGCACGUGUGCCUUUUUGCAUGUACUUUAUGCAUAAGGAUCGGCUAACUCCGUGCCAGCAGCCGCGGUAAUACGGAGGAUCCGAGCGUUAUCCGGAUUUAUUGGGUUUAAAGGGAGCGUAGAUGGGUUGUUAAGUCAGUUGUGAAAGUUUGCGGCUCAACCGUAAAAUUGCAAUUGAUACUGGCAGUCGUGAGUACAGUUGAGGUAGGCGGAAUUCGUGGUGUAGCGGUGAAAUGCUGAGAUAUCACGAAGAACCCCGAUUGCGAAGGCAGCUUACUAAACUGUGACUGACAUUGAUGCUCGAAAGUGUGGGUAUCAAACAGGAUUAGAUACCACAGUAGUC